UAGAGAGGGUUUAGUUCCAAUACUUGUGAUAUGCCUGUUUAGAACACAGUAAUAUAUAUACACAUUAAAAAAGAAAGUUGACAUCGAAACCCUGUGCUAGAAAGAUGCUUUCAGGAAGGGAAUCCCAGUUUAACUUCGGUCACAUGGACAGAGAAGAACCUGCAGUAGAUACACUAACCUUUAAAGUCAAUCUUCUCAAAUUAGAAUAAUAAAAGGUUAAGAAUGGUCUUUAUCCAUGUGAUUGUUGAAUCAGCCUGGACGACAUAGAUAAAUGUUAUGUUAGUGCCAGAAAUUGCUGUAGUCUGUGUUUGUUUGGUGCAGCUUUGUCACCCUCUAGUGUUCGUAUCCAAGAAGUUGGUGAGACUGCUGUUACUCCCAAUAAAUUUUUAGCUGUAUGGAUCAGUUCAGAGUUUUUUAAGGAGGAAUAAUUUUGAGAAAAGAAGCUGAUUGCUGGCAAGUCAUUUGCCAGCAGUAGCAUAAGAAAUUUUUAACUGAUCUAAACCAGGAACUCCUCAUUCCCAGGCUACAGUUUUAAUCUCUGAACCAGUCUUUCAUCACGAUUUAACUUCUUGAACUGAGUCUUUGAAACUUGAUACACUAAGUACUGAAGAAACAAUGAGAUUUGUCAUGGUACAACUUCCUUUUGUGAAACACCCUAGAAAGAUAGGAUUUCUUCUUUCUUUAAUUUUAUACUUUAUAGUAGUUUUGAUAACAGUUUUCCUUUGUUUAAUUUAAGAUACUUGGUUCCUUUAUUAAUGAUGUAUUUAUUAGGAUAUUAUUUGCAGUGAACUUCAUGUUCUUCCCCAGCAAAUAGAACAAUUGCAGUAAUUUAGAGAAUUAAGCACAGGAAGAAAUAAUCUCCAUAUGCUGCCAGAUGGUAAGUUACUACUAUUCAUUUAUUUGAUGUAAGAAAUGAGGAAAACUGUUUAAAAAUAAUGGAUUAUUUAUUGUUGUUGUUGCUUCCCAUCAGUCAGGACAUGGUUUCCAGCUGGUUGGCUUGGGCACUGGAAAGCAGGAGCUGCACUGGUUCUCCAAAGGAGCUCUGAGAGGGCAUGACACAGGUCACAGAAGUACCCUUGAUGGUUUCUGGUUGUUUCCAGUGAUACAGGUGGAUCUGGCAGCCACCAGGCUGUAUUUUCUUUAUCUUCUGGAGCACAAUAACCUCUUUGAUGGGAAAUGCUCUUUACAGUAGACCAUAUUCCAGCAACCAAGACUUAUGAUGUGUCCAUAAAAGAAACAUAAAAGAAGCAGGAUGAUGUUGUGAUAUAUACUGGAAAUGUUUCCCUGGUGUAAACUGGUGUUGCUUCACUGUUUCAAGCAAAGUUAUUUUCUUUUACAAUGGACAAAUACAGAAUUGCUUGUACUUCUAUAAUACCAAGAAUCUCCAGACCCAAUGAUGUGGUUAAAUUUUGCCCAACCAGCACUGAAACUCAUGUUAAAAAUAAAAAAAUGCCAUGCUAGAUGGGUAAACUGCUA
rnacentral:lncRNA from 1 species